rnacentral:rRNA from 1 species
GACAGAGGUGCCGAGCGUUAGGCGGAAUCACUGGGCUUAAAGCGUGUGUAGGCGGACCCGUCAGUGUCUUGUGAAAUCCCACCGCUCAACGGUGGAACGGCUGGGCAUACUGCGGGUCUUGAGGGACCCAGGGGCGAGCGGAACAAGCGGUGGAGCGGUGAAAUGCGUAGAUAUCGCUUGGAACGCCGACGGUGAAAACAGCUCGCUGGGGGUCACCUGACGCUGAGACACGAAAGCCAGGGAGCAAACGGG